GCGAAUUAAACUGUAUUAUAUAUGGCUAAGCGGGACCUGCGUACCUCUUGAAUACAUGCUGUAGCUAAUCAAGCAUAUUUCUUCUUAGCAAGUGAGUGGGGUCCUUAAUUUCUUUAAUUAAUUUGAUGUUAAUGAUUAGUCGCCAUCUUAAUUAUCAAACACUUCCGAAAAGGAACCGCAGAUUUAAUUUUACAAGUUCUAUUGUGUGUGUGUGUAUAUAUAUAUAUAUAUAUAUAGAGUAGGGCUACUAUACUCUUAUGAGUAGUGGACCCUUACUACUCAUAAGUUGUUUUCGAUGAUGGAGCUUCCGAAUCGACGAUCCACUCCGUUAAAUAUGAUCUAGAGCAUUUAAAACUUCUAGAAAUUAAAUUUCAUAAUUUUUCAACAUCAUUUACCUUAUGAUCAAAAGCUCACAAAAUUGACAAUUUUUAACGGCCGGUAUGGGAUACUUGCUAGUUUAACGGUGGAAAAGAAUCGGAAUAGGUUGAAUUUUUGANA
rnacentral:lncRNA from 1 species